UCUCUCUGAAGCAGAAGGGGCUGUGAACAACCACAGAGGAAUAUAAGAGGAGAAGGGAAGUCUCUGGACUCGUCUUCUCCGUCGCGAUCCCUCUUUCCCCUGCUUCUUUCGACUUCGUGUAGUUCAAUCAAGAGGUGGUAAAAAAGAGGCGAACGGAGAACAGAACAAGACAAAAGAAGGCAGACAACACCAUCACCACCACCACCACCUGUACGCCAGUAGGCCCGCUCCCCUGUCUCUGUCUGCUCUCCUUGACUCCAAUUCUCCCGCUCUCCCCGCCCAUCCCCUGUUUUCCUCCCAAUUAAAUCUCUUCCCCCUUCCUAACUACACCACGGUCAACCAUAACGCCCUUUAAGCUCCCACUUUUCCUCGCUUUCUUGAUUCUUGAUCCUUUUUGCUACACGAAAAAUUUGAUUUUGAGUUCGAGGAAGAGGAGGGAGAAGAAGAGUGUAUCAUCCACAGAUUUGGAUCCAUCGAUCGAUCGUCAUGCCGUCUGGUGCGAAGAAGCGGAAGGCGGCCAGGCGCAAGAAGGAGAUGGCCCUCCCUUCUGCCGAUCCUUCUUCUCAAGAUAGUGGGCAUAACGAUGAGUUGAUGCCGGCUGAGGACAGCAAGGAGAGCGACGAUGGAUCCCCGACAUCUUCCUCAUCGUCUUCGUCAUCUCAGGAGCACCAUCGCUCUCGAUCUGCCGAGGAGUUGUUAGGAUCUGAUGCUGUUGUGUUUGAUAGCACAGCGGAGAGCGGCAAAGGAGUGGCCUUGGCAGAGGAAGUUGAAGCUGAGUCCCUCGUUGCUGUAGAGGAACCAGCUUAUACCACUACGGUCGAGUCCUUCGCUGAAUCGGAGGAUGUGGUUGUCGAAUUCCCUAAAUCUGAGAAGGAAGAUGAGGAAGUAGCCGAGGAAUCGGCUGUUCUUGUUGAAAAGGUUGUCGCUUUGGCUGAAGAGGAUAGACGUCUUGAUGAGGUUGCUGCUAAGGUUCUUGAGGAGACUUCAGGCGGAGUGAAAGAAGUGCCGCUUCCUGAUGCGGAUGAGGCUGUCGAUCAGCUUGGUGAGAGUGGCGACGCCCGCUGUGUUGCUGGGAAAGCUGAAAAUUUGCCGACUGUUGAGGUGUCGCCUGGUGCCGCACCGGUUGUGCAUCACGCAACAUGGUGGAAUUGUUGUGGAUUGCUUGAUGUAUUUGCAUGUUCUACGAGAUAAGCUCAGCUGGAAAGCAGCAAAACCUGGCACUGUCUAUCUCAGUGUAUAUUCGUGAAUCUGGAAGCUCAAGAAUCAGAUGGAUGUUCUUUAAUGAAGACUUCUCUAAUGAUGUCCCAUCAAGACUGGUCACAGAGUCAUAGUUUUAUAUGUUAAAGGAAAUCGAGUAGUGGUUUUGAUACAUCUGAAAUUUUGAUAAGUAUAUCAAUGCUGUUGGUAAUGGUCUCGUCUUGUUUCCUUGCAGUGGUUGUGAUUAAGUUUGUUGCUUGGUACUUUGUGGUUCAUAGGUUUUGAUACUGGAAAGAUCAAAAUUUGCAUGGCUGGGAACUCUGCUUUUGUUGUGGUCAAAUUUAUUUUCUCAUGUUUUUCGGAUUCGAAUAAUACUUUUCAUGUGUAUAAUCUUAUUCAGCUAGAAGAACCUUGUAAUUCUUUUUUCUUUUUUUCGGCUACACGAAUUGUUAUAUAACUCAAGUUUUUCCUGCCA